rnacentral:lncRNA from 1 species
UUCCUUGCUGCUCCAAGAUGGGGAGGGAACAUAAAGCCUGAGUUUGCACCAUGGCUGUGGUGUGCAGCCCGGGAGUGCCAACCUGAGACCCACAGCCAGCACUCCAGUGGGAGAGGAGCCCACACUUUCAGAGCACUAAGAGGGAACAUGGUUGCAAUUGGGUUAUGGGCUUAUUUUUUUUUUUCUAUAGAAGCAUCUGACUUAUUUCCAGCUAAGAAGAACCCCUCCUCUUCACACCCAUAAGCAAUAAGAAGCCCUGUGCUUUGAAGACUCAUAUUCUUAUAAUACUUUAGCUAAACAAUUGUAAAAAUCGUCUCAUAAGCAGCUAUGAGAAUGUUCUCUUACAGGGUUCAGUAACAGAAACAAUUAAAGUGUAACUUGUGAAAAUAAGUGUGAUUUUUUUUCCAGGUUACUCAUCUCAGAAGAGUAUCUUUUGCUUGCCCUUUGUCACUGGACACAGACACAUGCUCUGGUAGACCUCUCUUCUUCCUUCCUCCAGCUUUGGGAAGUAAAAUUUUACUUCUGGGGGGCAGUUAAAUUUUGUUUGGAAACUGACUGGUUUAUACGUCUCUUGGAAAGUGUACACAGGAGUGCACUGGUACCAUUGUUUAUAGUAGAAAAAGAAUCUCAUUUAUUGCAAACUUAAUUUGUGCCACAAGGAUCAUUAGCUGUGAUAUCAGUGUGGCCACAUCAUAGUAUGAGCAAAUCAUCACUU